rnacentral:rRNA from 1 species
GACGAACGCUGGCGGCGUGCUUAACACAUGCAAGUCGAACGGAAAGGCCCUGCUUUUGUGGGGUGCUCGAGUGGCGAACGGGUGAGUAACACGUGAGUAACCUGCCCUUGACUUUGGGAUAACUUCAGGAAACUGGGGCUAAUACCGGAUAGGAGCUCCUGCUGCAUGGUGGGGGUUGGAAAGAUUCGGCGGUUGGGGAUGGACUCGCGGCUUAUCAGCUUGUUGGUGGGGUAGUGGCUUACCAAGGCUUUGACGGGUAGGCGGCCUGAGAGGGUGACCGGCCACAUUGGGACUGAGAGACGGCCCAGACUCCUACGGGAGGCAGCAGUGGGGAAUAUUGCACAAUGGGCGGAAGCCUGAUGCAGCAACGCCGCGUGCGGGAUGACGGCUUUCGGGUUGUAAACCGAUUUCGCCUGUGACGAAGAGUGAGUGACGGUAAUGGGUAAAGAAGCACCGGCUAACUACGUG